UACAGAGGUCUCAAGCGUUGUUCGGAUUCACUGGGCGUAAAGGGUGCGUAGGCGGUUGGGAAAGUCUGAUGUGAAAUCCCCGGGCUCAACCCGGGAACGGCAUCGGAAACUACCUGGCUAGAGGGGUGGAGGGGGGACUGGAAUUCUCGGUGUAGCAGUGAAAUGCGUAGAUAUCGAGAGGAACACCAGUGGCGAAGGCGAGUCCCUGGACACCUCCUGACGCUGAGGCACGAAAGCUAGGGGAGCAAACAGG
rnacentral:rRNA from 1 species